rnacentral:rRNA from 1 species
GAUGAACGCUGGCGGCGUGCCUAAUACAUGCAAGUCGAGCGAACAGGCUUGGAGCUUGCUCCUCUCACGUUAGUGGCGGACGGGUGAGUAACGCGUGGAUAACCUACCUCUUAGACGGGGAUAACUUCGGGAAACCGUAGCUAAUACCGGAUAAUAUUUUGAACCGCAUGGUUCUAUAUUGAAAGGCGGUUUUGCUUUCAUUUAUAGUUGGAUUCGCUCCUCUUUAGCUAGUUGUUAAGUUAACGGCCUACCAAGGCAACGAUGCGUAGCCGACCGAGGAGGGUGAUCGGCAAAACGGGAACGGAGACAGGGCCAGGAUGCCUAGGGGAGGAACAAGUAGGGAACCUUCGGAAAGGGGGGAAAGCUUGACGGAGAAAGGCGGCGUGAGGGAGAAAGGUCUCGGGAUCGAAAAACUCGGUGUAAAGGGAAGAAGAGAUGGGGAAGGAAAAAUGCACGCCGUGACGGUAACUAAUCAGAAAGCCACGGCUAACUACGUG